rnacentral:rRNA from 1 species
AUCAGGUAGGGAUACCCGCUGAACUUAAGCAUAUCAAUAAGCGGAGGAAAAGAAACCAACAGGGAUUGCUCUAGUAACGGCGAGUGAAGCAGCAAUAGCUCAAAUUUGAAAUCUGGCGUCUUCGACGUCCGAGUUGUAAUUUGUAGAGGAUGCUUCUGAGUGGCCACCGACCUAAGUUCCUUGGAACAGGACGUCAUAGAGGGUGAGAAUCCCGUAUGCGGUCGGAAAGGCGCUCUAUACGUAGCUCCUUCGACGAGUCGAGUUGUUUGGGAAUGCAGCUCUAAAUGGGAGGUAAAUUUCUUCUAAAGCUAAAUAUUGGCGAGAGACCGAUAGCGCACAAGUAGAGUGAUCGAAAGAUGAAAAGCACUUUGGAAAGAGAGUUAAAAAGCACGUGAAAUUGUUAAAAGGGAAGGGAUUGCAACCAGACUUGCUCGCGGUGUUCCGCCGGUCUUCUGACCGGUCUACUCGCCGCGUUGCAGGCCAGCAUCGUCUGGUGCCGCUGGAUAAGACUUGAGGAAUGUAGCUCCCUCGGGAGUGUUAUAGCCUUGGGUGUAAUGGGGUGAGCCUGGACUGAGGAUCGCGUUCGCUAGGAUGCUGGCGUAAUGGCAGUUUGCGACCCGUCUUGAAACACGGACCAAGGAGUCUAAC